rnacentral:rRNA from 1 species
GACAGAGGGUGCAAACGUUGCUCGGAAUUACUGGGCGUAAAGGGCGUGUAGGCGGGAAGGCAAGUCGGGCGUGAAAUCCCCAGGCUCAACCUGGGAACUGCACUCGAAACUGCCUUUCUUGAGUGCCGGAGAGGAAGGCGGAAUUCCUGGUGUAGAGGUGAAAUUUCGUAGAUAUCAGGAGGAACACCAGUGGCGAAGGCGGCUUUCUGGACGGUAACUGACGCUGAGACGCGAAAAGCGUGGGGGAGCAAAACAGG